AAUAGAUACCCUGGUAGUCCACCCCGUAAACGUUGGGAACUAGUUGUGGGGACCAUUCCACGGUUUCCGUGACGCAGCUAACGCAUUAAGUUCCCCGCCUGGGGAGUACGGCCGCAAGGCUAAAACUCAAAGGAAUUGACGGGGACCCGCACAAGCGGCGGAGCAUGCGGAUUAAUUCGAUGCAACGCGAAGAACCUUACCAAGGCUUGACAUAUAGAGGAAACGACUGGAAACAGUCGCCCCGCAAGGUCUCUAUACAGGUGGUGCAUGGUUGUCGUCAGCUCGUGUCGUGAGAUGUUGGGUUAAGUCCCGCAACGAGCGCAACCCUCGUUCUAUGUUGUCAGCACGUAAUGGUGGGAACUCAUGGGAUACUGCCGGGGUCAACUCGGAGGAAGGUGGGGAUGACGUCAAAUCAUCAUGCCCCUUAUGUCUUGGGCUUCACGCAUGCUACAAUGGCCGGUACAAAGGGCUGCAAUACCGUAAGGUGGAGCGAAUCCCAAAAAGCCGGUCCCAGUUCGGAUUGAGGUCUGCAACUCGACCUCAUG
rnacentral:rRNA from 1 species